rnacentral:rRNA from 1 species
UUGAGAGUUUGAUCCUGGCUCAGAACGAACGCUGGCGGCAGGCCUAACACAUGCAAGUCGUGCGCGCCCUUCGGGGUGAGCGGCGGACGGGUGAGUAACGCGUGGGAACGUGCCCUUUAGUUCAGGAUAGCCCCGGGAAACUGGGAGUAAAACUGGAUACGCCCUUCGGGGGAAUAAAGGAUCGGCCCGCGUCUGAUUAGGUAGUUGGUGGGGUAAUGGCCUACCAAGGCGACGAUCAGUAACUGAUUUGAGAGGAUGAUCAGUCACACUGGAACUGAGACACGGUCCAGACUCCUACGGGAGGCAGCAGUGGGGAAUUUUCUGCAAUGGGCGAAAGCCUGACAGAGCAAUACCGCGUGAGGGAUGACAGUCCUAUGGAUUGUAAACCUCUUUUUUCAGGGAGGAAGUUCUGACGUUACC